rnacentral:rRNA from 1 species
GUGCCUAACACAUGCAAGUCGAACGCGAAAGUGGAGCAAUCCUUGAGGUCUGGCGAACGGGUGAGUAACACGUGGGUGACCUAUUAUCGGGUGGGGGAUAACAUCCCGAAAGGGGUGCUAAUACCGCAUGACAUCCUGCCUUUGAACAGGCGGACAUUACUGCCGGGGAUCGCAAGACCUGGCGCUCGUGGAGGGGCCCGCGCCCGAUUAGCUAGUUGGUGAGGUAAUGGCUCACCAAGGCUACGAUCGGUAUCCGGCCUGAGAGGGCGGACGGACACACUGGGACUGAGACACGGCCCAGACUCCU